CAAUGCGAUAUUUUUGCAAUCUUGGUUGUAUUUGACUGUUACAUUUGUCACCAAGUCUUCGCCCGUUAAGGACGUGUUAAGCUAACUGCAAGGCAAACAUCAAAUUUGAACAGGGUAAUAAGUGAAAAUGGCUCUAGGACCAGCCAACAUGCAGGAAGAAGAGUACAUUGUGGAGGCGAUUCUCGAUAAGCGAGUUCUGGAUGGAGCAACGGCAGAAUAUUUAGUGAAGUGGAUGGGCCAUGGAGAGGAGGACAACACUUGGGAGGCGGGGGAUAAUUUGACCUGCACUGAACAAAUCGAAGAAUUCGAGGCUCAAGAGAAGGCAAAGGAGGCCGCGUCCAACAAGUAGAAUUCGUUUCCGUUCCAAAAUUAUCAUUUUCCACUUCAAUUACAUGAAACAUUUAAUUGAUUCCACUUUUUUUUAAUUUUUACAAUUUGAAGGAAAUAAAUUUCUUGAAAUAA